UCUGCGUCGCUCACGCUGGUUGCUGUAGACCGGAGCUGUUCCUAUUCGGCCAUCUUGGCUCCUCCCGUGAGAUUUUUAAAAACCAGAAAUGAAGGUUGGAUUAUGUAAAAUGUGUUUUCUGCAUUAGUAAUGAUGAUAUGUGUUUUUUCUGAUUUGUUCUGUUAAUAAUGUGAAUUAUAUUGAGCAAUUUUUAAUGUUGUAUUAGGCCAUUUCUGCAUUGCUAUAGAAUACCUGAGGCUGGGUAAUUUAUAAAGAAAGAGGUGUAAUUGGCUCACGUUCUGCAACGUGUAAUCUUUUUUUCUAAUUUCUUAAGUUAGAAGUUGAAAUCAUUGAUUUGAGGCCUUCCUUCUUUUUAAAUACAGACAUUUUACAUUAUACAUAUCCUUCUGAGAUUGCUUUAGGUGAA
rnacentral:lncRNA from 10 species